CCCGCUGCCGGGUUCGAGCCCUUUCCCAGGCGGGAGCAGGCUCCCGACCGGAAGCCGCUCUGCGUGAGGCUCAGUUCCCCGGCCAGGCGACCCUGGCCCCGCCCCGGUUGCUAGGUGACGAGGGGGCGCUUCGCUCCGGCGGGAACAUGGCGACGUCUCUGGGGACAACUCCCGGGGGGACGACCCCUACGGGGUUGACUCCAGUGGGAACCACGCCCGAGUCAGAGAAAGGUGCUGAAUUCCAGGAGCGUGAGAAGAUUCUGUCUCCAGAUUUUCUUUCAGUUGCACAAAUCACUGAAAUGCUGGCAGAGGAUGUAGAUGGAGUUCAACAGAAACUGCAAAAGUUUUUGAAUUUCAAAAAUCUUCAAACCUGUUUAAAGGAAGCCAGUCUACUAGAUUAUUAUGUAUCUGGAUUUUUGUGGGCUAGAGGAAUGGACUUUUCCAUUAUUCAGCAUUCAAAAUUUAUGACUUUACUAGAUAUGUUACUUCAUAAUCUUAGAACACUGCAUAUGUCAUUAGAAGACAGCAUAAAAUGGCUUGGAGAAGUUAUGGCUGAAAUAGGGCCAUCCCGUUCACAAAAAUAUGAGGAAUGGAAUACCUUUGAUGUAAAACAAGCUAAUGCGAUUGUUGAUUACUUAAAAAUCAGCUUAUUUCAGCACUACAAGCUGUAUGAGUUUCUGUUCUACUCUGCCAGGGAAGAAAUCUUGAUAGGAACUGAGCAAGUCAUAGAGGUUGUGAAGCCUCCAGGGCAUCCUUUCCCUGAUCCUCUAGAAGAAGGAAUCGCAUUUGGUAUUUACUCAGCAUUCAUAGAGCCACCUCCAACAGUGGACACAGAAAUGAAGGGGUUGAAUCCAGAACAAGGCCCCGAAGAGUCCCAGCCAAAAGCCGGUAUUUCAGAGACCGAUCCUUUAGUUGGUUUCACCAUUGAAGAUGUAAAAUCAGCGCUGGGUCAAGUCACAAAUGACAUUUUAAUCGGCCUUCAGACCGAGAUAAACGAAAAGCUGCAAAUACAGGAAGAGGCCUUUAAUGCACGAAUAGAAAAAUUGAAAAAGGCCUGAGGACUCGAAACAAGGAGAGGGAUGCUAAACUUCACAGAAACAAACAAACCCAACCGGAAUAAUAGGCUCUCUAGAGCACCGAGUCUCCUUCGUUUAGUUGGGAGAUGAGAACCGAGCCCCACUUUUUAUUAGCCUAACUAAUUAGAAAAGUAUUGGCCCCACUUUUGCUAUCUCUGCCCUCUCCCAGCCUCUGAAUUUAUAGCACCAUGUGUAAUAAGAACGUUUUGUAUGUAAGAGUUUGGAGAAUUAUAUAUAAAAAUACAAUUACUUUUACAAUACUUCUUUGACAUGUUGACUAAUAAAAUGCUCUUCGUCCUCAAACAGAGUGAAGCCAACUUUUUAAAUAAAGAAAAAUAAUAAUAAUUUUAUCCAUGUUGACCCAAAUGAACUGCCCCAUUCCUGAAGCCUUGUGAACAGAGACCACCACCACACUGCUGAGGACAAAACUUGCUAAACAACAGCAAUUCAAAAGAAUAUACUAGGAGUUUUUUCCUCCUUAAAUCAUUUGGUUUUCUUAUUUAAACGUUUCAGUGUGAAACCAAUUUUCUGAAAUUAUAUAAUGCAGUUUGAAGCACGUUAAUUUAUUCUGCACUGUAUUUGUUAUUUCUAAUCUUGUUACUCUCCCCGGAGAAUACAUGACCUAUAUAAAAAGAAGCAAUGUAUAAAUGGUUAUUAAAGACCAACCUAUAUAUAGAUUGUAAAAAUCUUACAUACAAAUCAAACUCACAGAGCUCUUAAAAUUAACCAUUAUAUUGCAGUAGAAUAAUUGAAAGCAUCUCAAGCCUUUAAAUACCUUUAUUAAAGUAUAAUUUCAAAAGAAAAUAUCUAUUCGCCAAUUGAUUGUCCCUAGUUGGACAAAUUAAUUACUAGCUAGGCCCUUUACAAACAGAAUAUUCUAGAAUGGAGAACAUUGCUAGGAGGGGACCAUUCCUUCAAGAAGUUUCCAGGUUAUACUGGAACCAGAUGUAUUUGCACCUGGGUGGCACUUAGCUGAAUAUGUUCUGUCCGUACUCUGACCUUGGGCUAUAACCUCACUUGCUCCAUCAGUACCAAAAGGAUUGCCCAAAAUGUAUUCAUUUGGGGCAGAGACAAAUCCGAUGGCAUUUGGUAAUUUUCUAACUAUGCUGAUCACCAAACUUAAGAGAAGUGCUUAAGAUGAAACCAUGUCUAUCAUCAUUGCAGUUCCAAGUCUGGAAGACCUGGAGAUCUCGUGCUGAGAUGUUUCUUCCUUGAGCUGUCCUUCCUAAUCGAAAGUGUCGAUGGCCACAGGAGAUCAACAGGAGAGCUCACAAGUCUUAAUGUUGUGAAGGAGUCUUUUUCCAGGAAAACAGGGCACUUUCUAGGUAGUGGUAUGAAAUAAACCGAAAAGAUCCUUGACUUCGUGGAGUUCAUGGAACUGACAAAAGUUUUUAAUCUACAGGCAGAUGAUAAAACAUGAUGGAGGUCAGCAUCAAUACUUACAAGGCAUGUUGACGGCAUAUACAUGAGAUAUGAGAUGGUGAAAUUCACCUCUGCGGCCUUCCUCUCAGAAAAUCCUCAUCUCAAUCUAAUGAGAAAAGCAUCAGGUAAAUUCCAAUAGAGGAGCAUUCCACAAUAUUCCAUGUCAGAUUCCUCAAAACUGUGAAGGUCACCAAAAAUAAGGGAAGUGUGAUAAAAUGUCACAGCCAAGAGGAGCUUCAGGAGCCAAGACAACUCAUGUUGGAAUUCAGGAUGUAAUUUUGGAACAGAAAAAGGGAAGCUAAAGAAAUACGAAUAAACUCUGAACUUCAGUUAGUAAAAUAUAUCAAUAUUGGCUUGUUAAUUGUACAAAAUGUACUCUACAAAUGUAAGAAUAGUGAUAAUAGUAAUAAUUAGUAAUAAUAAGGGAAAGGAGAAUAGUGUAGAGCAACUCUGCACUAUCUCCUCAAUUUUUCUGUAAAUCUAAAACCAUUCUAAAAAUAGUCUGUGAAUUUUAAAGGAUCAUGGUCAAAAAACCCAAAAUUAAUUAAAAGAAAAGGUACCUACCAUCAGAUUUAACCACUGAUGGAAUGACAUCCCCUUCUAAAGAACAUACAAUAAUCAGAUAUAGCCAUUUUGCAAACUAAGGGGGAAAAUGAAUGCUCAUAAAGAAGGAUAAAGUGAUAGAUAAUCCCAUUUUAAAGAGGAGAUUGCAAAGCAAAGGUAACAGCAAGUACAAAAUCCCUGUGAGAAGAGAACAUGGAAAGUAGAGGAUGUGAAAGGGGGCUGGAGCCUCGAAAGUGAGAAGGGGCAUUCUCCAAAAUCAAAAAAGAAUAAAUAAAUGGAUAUUAGACUAUGCAGAGCCUAUAUGUUGGGAUAAAGUGUCUUGUCUUUGUCCCGAAUACAGUAAGUUACUGAAAGGUUUGAGUCAGAGACUUGGAGGGGGCUGGCGAAGAACAAGCACAUUUGAGCUAUGCAAAGAGGAUUCUAAUUGCAAUGGGGAAAAUGAGUAGAGACCGGGGAGGACAAGGUCCCAGCACUCUUCCUGUGACACCACGUACGUGUCAGAAGCUGUCCAGGAGAAUCCAUUCUCUCAUUCUUCCUACGCACAUGGCUGGUCUCCAUUUUCCAGAUCCCUUUGCAGGGAAGUGUGACCAUGUGACUAAGUUCAAGCCAGUAGAAUGUGAGCACAAGUGAAAUGUGCUUCACAAAGGGUAUUACUCAAGACCAGACAACGCCUGUUCCAUGCCUUCUUCUCCUCACUGCUGGCUGGAUGGCAGUGAGGAGAGCAAUAAUUCCAAGGUAACAGAGCAGCUUCUGCCUGGGUUCCUGAAGGACACAUGACAGGAGACAUUUACCAACCCAGAUGACAUAUCCAGACUGUCUUAGGAGGAAGAAGUAAACUUUCGUUUCUGAGUGUGACUUCAGCCCUGGGUCUGCCUGUCACAGCAAUUUAGCCUGCCGUAAUUAACUCAAUGAUUCUCUCUCUCUGUGUCUGUGCACACAUAGUAUGUCUCAUAGGGGUCAGUGGCUGUUGUAAACUGGGAAAACAACUAGCAAAUUCAUUAACUAGGGACUUGUGUAUAGUUUCAUUGCAUAAAGUAAUUACCUCUUAGUUUAUGUAAGCCCACAGUUCCUCCUAAACUGACAUUCUAUGAAAUAAUUGACUGAACCUCUCAAGUGUAAUGAACUGCACACUCAGGAAAUCUCCCACGAGAGGCCACACCUUAAAUACUUUCUACUCUAAGUGAGGCUAGUAAUUUUUUAAAAUGUCUAUGGAUGGCUUGGGAUUCCUCUAAUAUAAUAAGAAAAGUAUAAACAAGAUUCUAGGUUAUUAAUUUGCUAAUAGUUUUUCCCUUAGGCCAGGGUUAUUUCCUCAGCUGAAAUACUCCUUCAUUCACUAAAAAUGAUUUACUAACUGCCUACUCUAGAACCUGACUAAGGCACUUACUAGAGCAAAUAUUGGUAUGUUGGCUACUUGAUAUUGAAUAUACCCAAUUCUAAAGACUAAUGUGUAUUUCAGAAGCAUUAUUCUGAUUUGACUAGUAGACAGUCCAUAGGUUACAGUAAACAGCACAGUCAGAUCAUAGAUAGGGUUGGAAAUAGAAACAGAACUUAGUUUUCCCUCCCUCAAACAUGCUCAUCACCAGUUGUUUACUUGCUAUUGGUGACCACCUGAAUCAGAAUGCUUCUGGCUACAAGUAAAUAAAAUCCUAAACUCAAAACGGCUUAAAAAAUUACAAAAAUACCCUACGUAAUCUAGCAAAAAAGAAGUUCAGAGGUAAGGAGCCCUGAUGGCACCACUGAGGACCCAGAUUAUUUCUGUCUGUGGCAUCCUCUUCAGCACCUUGGCUUUUGUCCUCAAGAAUUGUCCCCUCAUAAUCCCGAGAUGACAACUACGUCCUCACAAAAGGACCAAAUACUCAAAGAAAAGGAGUACUUUCUUCUCUCAUAUUUCUUUUGAAGAGCAAGAAAAAACUUUUCCAGAGCUUGCCUGGAGAGUUUGUCCUGUGUCCUUUUGGCCAGAAUUGUAUCGCAUGAUCAGUCCUGAACCAGAUACUGGUAAAGGAAAUAGAAAUGUCAUGACUGACUUAGGUGAGUCAGGCUUCACCAGCUGGGGUGGGGGAUUGGCCCCCCCCAAUCGCCACAACAAAGUUGGCGUUCUCUUAAAGAGGAAAAAAGCAUAGAAUGGCUGUUGGGCAAGUGACUGCCAUUUCUACUCCACCAAUUGAUCCUCCAUAAUAUUUUAUAUCUUAAAAUGUCCUAGCAUUUCCAGCAUUCUUUAGUUCAAAAUUUUGAUGGAUAGAUGAUAGAUAGAUAGAUAAAUCAAAGAGAGAUCUUUUCUUUGUUUGCAAAGAUGAUGGUACUGAUUAUUACCUCUAUGUGCAGGUGCUGUUUUUUAAAUGUUUGCCAUAGAAGAAGCUACUGCAUUCCAACAUGUCUAUGAAAAAUAGCUAGAAAUUUUUGAAACCAAACAUAUUCAGUUCUUAAGGUGCUAGACUCAGAUUGAAUUAUUAGCACCAUUUCCUUUCUGCUGAAAUUUUGAUGACAUGGUCAUCAUUCAUUCAACCAAGUGUGGCCAUUUUAGAUUCAGUGAAGUGUCUUUAUUCACGGUGUCCUCACAUGGUCCUUUAUUUGUUAAAACUACUUCAAAAUAGAUAGGCUGAUAAAUCACCAGAACACUGCAAAGCAAAACUUAAGGGCCAGGACUAAACUGAGGAAAUAAACAAAAAGAUGAGGUAAUUACAGACUUGGGAAAUUCAUGAUGUAGUAUUAGAGGAAAACAUCUGUCAUUAAAUAUGAUAUGUGUUUUGUGGGAAAAAACGAUACACAAAUAAAAAGCAUUCAAGUAUAAUGGGAAUUCUCUGUUGAUGGUGAGGUUGCAGGUGAUUUUUAAAUUCUUUUCUGUAUCUUCCAUAUUUCAUUAACUUUUUUUUAACUAGUGAGAAAUGAACAUGGCUUCUGAUAGAUUGAUGCAACACCCUAGCCUGUUUUUUUUGCCAGCUUCUGGCCAACCCACCAGAAGCUUGGGCAUUUUCACUGUCCUCUCUGGAGCCAGUAUGGAGUCUUUUCAGCAGCAACCAUGAGAAAGCAGCAGGUGCUCUUCAGACCCAGGGAAGCACAAAAUGCUUCCCAGAAACAGCCCCUGUUCUGAAAAAGCUCCCAGUCUAAGUUGGAUACAAUGGCAGGUGCAUAGCUUUGGGUAGACACAUUGCCCUCAUGUGCUAAGAUGACUUCUAGAAGCCAGAUUCCACAGAGGAUUCUGCCACAAUAAACUGCGGGACGCUGGGCAUGCUGCAUUGCCCCCUGAACCUUGGGUUUAUUGUUAUAAAAUAGAUGGAUUGUCAAUAGGUUAAAAAAAAAAGAAAGUCAAUGUUGAGAAGUCUUUUCUUUAAACUCCAGAGACACUCUGACUUUAAAAAACUAGAAACUAGCCUUAGAAGGCGACGGUUAAAGAAUAUCUCAAAUUGGCUUAAAUUGAAACACGAGAUAUAUUCCCAUUAAAGCUGAAAAUGAGAUAAGGGUUGGAAUUAAUGAAUUAAUCGUAUAAGUACUUGUUUAAUGCCUGUCUCCCAGCCCAGGCAAUAGCUCUAGGAGGGCAGGGUCUGUCUCUGUCUUGUUCCAUGCUCUGUCUCCAAGGUCUAGCACAGCACCUGGCACAGGGUAAGUACAUCACAAAUGUUUUGUAGAUGGAAGAGGAGAAGGCAGACACACCCACAGGCUGGCUGUUUUCACCACUGGUGUUUCACUUUUCCUACCCCUAAAAUGAGACAACAUAGGGAAAUUAAAAGUGUAGUUAACACAAAGCUAAAAUCAUUAUUUAUAGAUAAUGAGAUUAUUACAUUGAAAACCCAUGAGAAAAUCUAUUCUAAAAAAUAUUUAAGAAGUCAGAUAAAAAAUAAAGACUAAAAACUAGAUUUUUCAAUGAAUUAAUAAUGAUUAGAAAAUAUGCCAGGAAAAAAAAUCUUUUACAAUAGUAACAAACAUACAAAAUACUUAAAGUGAAAAUAAGAAAAAGUAAAGAAUUUGUGUGAAGAAAAAUAUAAAAAAUGUCCUAAAGGGCAUUUUGCUAGAUGCAAAGUUUAAAUAUUGUAAAGAUACAAUUUGAAGUGUAAUUCCAUUGAAAAUCUCACAAUUUGUAUUAGUCUGAGGUCAACAUGAAUAGUGAAAAAAUAAUAAGAGGUAAAAAGGCUUUCUGGUUUAAAACACAAAGCUAAAAUACCUAAAAGUAUGUGUUAGAGCAAAAAUAACAGCCAAAUUAGUGAAACAGAACAGAAAACAACAUAAUAUUGAGAAUUUGUUUUAUGAUGAAAUUUACUUGGGUGGCUGAGUCUAUGAAUUUGGAAUCACUUAAUCCUGAAAUCCUCUCUCAGAUCUGCCUUUUGUAGUUAAGCAUUAUAAGCUAUCAAGCCUCAGUUCACUCAUCUAUAAAAUAGGAAUAAAAAUAUCUAUACUAGAAUGUAAUUGUAAGGAUCAAAUGAAAUGUGUAUUCAUUAAAAUUUUAAAUUCACUAAAAAUACUUAGCACAGUAUCUCAGUAUACAAUAAAGGGUAUUUAUUUUUAUGAUAUAUUUGAUAAACCAAUGGGAAAGUAAUCUACAAGAAAUGAUGCUGGGAAAAUUAUUGGCAAAAAAAUGUAUGUUUUAUGUUUAUGUAUUAUAUGUUACAUUUUCAGAGUAUACCAACAAGUUAAAGCAUUGAAUUAAAACUACAAAAUAGCUAGAAGAAAGUAUGAGUGACUCUUUUCCUGGUCUUGUGAUGGAGAGGGCUUUAACAAAUUAAUGAAACAACAUCACAAAGAACAGGCAAAAAAAAUAUUGAACUGUUCGUGUAGAAGAAAAUUUACCAUAAAUAAAAAGAAAAAAACUGAGAAAAAUAUUUACAAAAAUUGUGUGACAGGGAGUUAAUAACUUUAGUAUAUACACAGCUCCUUAAUAUCAAUACAAGAAAAUGCUAACAACUCAAUAGGAAGUUGCAAGUGGUCUGAACAAAUAAUUCACAAAUUAAAAAAAAAGAAGUAGAAAUUGUCAGCAAUAAUGACAAAGUUUUUAACUUUAUCAAUUCUGGCAUUUCUGAACGCUGUGUAUUUUUAGGGUAUUUGAAGCCAGAGAAAUCAAGAUUGGGAAACGCAGGAUUGAGAUUAUUGUGUACAUGACUUUGUCAGGAAAUGCCUAAAACUGAAUCAAAUAUGUGAAGAUGCAUCGUGCAGCUCCCAUUUAACACCUAUGUGUUCAGAAGUACUUUAAAUUUUUAGAUAUCAGAAUUCAUUUUUGGUAAAUAGCAAGCAACAUGCCCUCACUGUCUCUGCCACCCCAUGUUUUUCUCUAGUUUUGUAACAUGGUACAUGUGGCUUUCACACCUGACAAUAUCCAUGUCGUACAUGUUGAUCUGGGUGACAAUGAACUAAGCAGAUGAUAAAAGAUCCCUGAAUGAAAUAGAGAUCUAGUUCUGGGUCUUGCUAUCUCACCACCAGCUGCAAUCCAGGCCCUAAAUGAGGCAUAUCACUUCUCCAAAUGUAAGAGUUUCUCCCAAUUUGGUCUAUAAUUCCUGGACCCUACUCUAGCCCUUCAGAAUCAGAAGGCAGGUCUUGGAAAUUGGCACCUUUAACAAGUACCCUAAUUAAUGCUUAGGUACUUCAAAGUUUGAAAAAUACUGUACUGGUGGACCACCAAGCCCUUCUAAUGUUAAAAAUCAAGUAUUCUGAAGGAAAAAUAUGCAUGCUGAAUAGCAGCUCCACUCUGUACAUCUGAGAAUGGCUGCCCACCCCAACUCACAAAUUUGGAUUCUCAGAUCGUUGUUAUAUUUGAGUUGAUAUCUUUUUAGGUUUUGUUCUUCCAAUCUCACACAUCCAAUUACACUUGUAGCUGCCAGUCUUUGAACAUGCUUUCAGAAGGCAUAUAAAUUCAACCCUGAGUCCUUAUGAUUCAGACAUUUAAUCACACCAUAAAGUUAAUGGAACCCAAUUUGAAUGUAGACACCUCAACAGCCACAUUGCAUUGAAUUCAGAGCAUUCAUAAAAUGUGGGUCUCAAAAUGAAUCACCAGCCUAAUGGAAAGUUCAGAGAAGAACGCCUCCCUCUCAUUGGUCACUGUCCUAAUCUUCAGCUGCCAGGAAAAGGACUGGAGCUGUCAACACAACACUGUAGCCCAGGCAACCAGCCAUGCUGGUAGGAACUUUUCAACACUUAAAAAAAAAGUUACUAUAGAAACUUUCAGAUGCUCGUUAGAUUGUUUGGACCCUCUGUGGUUUAUAGCAGUAAUGACGCCUUGGGGCCAGACGUUGCCUAUCAACCUAGGACCUCCGCUCAUUCACAGCCCAGAAAUGAGUUGCUUUUGGGGUGCUUCAGAUAUAAAUUGUGUUCUUCCAGUGCUGCAUGGUCUCUGGGGAAAAAGGAAAUAGAUACUGUGUUUCCAAGACCCCAGUAAUCCAUUACUUAAACAACAGAAAAAUAAUAAUAGCAGUGGCCAUCCAAACAUCCAGAUGUGGUCGCAGCGAUGUUUGUCUUCCACUGGGUGAAGACAUCUGGGUGAUUGAUUCUGAGCUUUCCAUCCAGAUGUUCAACCACAGUGGCAAGUCCACUUCGAACUGAAGCUGGAAGGGGUGUGCAGUUAUCAAGGAGGUACCCAUUUGAGCUCCUUUUAUUGGAAAUGUCUUUUCCCCUUAGUUUUUUUUCCAUCUUGGGUAGAAUGGUUUUGUAUGAAAGAACCUUAGGAUCCACAGAACUGCUUAGAUCAAACUUCUCAACUAUGCUUUCUGUUCAAGUUUCCAUAGCCAGUGCUAAGUUAAGUGGAAGGAAGACCCAAUCCUUUCUUACAUUUUUAGACAGCUGCUGGAAUUCACUCCAUUCUUAAAAAGUUAUUUACCUGAAGUAGGAACUUUGCACGUAAGGGAAGGAGGCAGGGCUCUCAAAAUGGCUUGUGUACUUUUUGAGUCUAGUGUGCUGAACUACAAAUUUAAUCCACUGAAGUGGUUUCAUGCAAACGCUCCUCUCAAAUUCCUUUUGUACAAAAUCUUGAUGCAUAAUGUAUAGAGUCUGAAAAUGGAUUAAGCUACAUUUGGAGAUGGUUUGAGUUGAGGUUUUUUUUAAAGCAGGCAAAAACAAGCAGGUUUUUCUGUUGUAGCCUUUUUUAACCCUUCUUGCUCAAGCAAUCACAUUGAAUCGUAUCUUCUCAAAGCUGCCUUCCACACAAUGUUUCUUGUCUUUUUUUUCCUGUCAAAAAGCUUGAAAUGUAAAACGUUUUAAUUAGAAAUGUGAAGAGUGAAUUGGACUCAGUUCCCUCAGAUUUCCUGACUAAAGCAAGCAAAUAGAAUAGUAAAACCUUUUGAUUUACUCCUGGCAGAUAAUUCAGCAACCAAAUAAGCAGAUGAGUGAAAUCUUGCUGAAUAAAAUGUUUCCUGGUACGCCACAAUCUUAAUUACCCUGAGGACUGUGGCCAUAGAUAGAAUGCCAAUCUGUAUGUCAUGGGGAGCAGAUGUAGUAAAUGCUCAGAGACAUAUUUCUUCCAGAGCCAAUCAAGGCCAGAAAGAGGAAAAAGGAGAUGGCCAGGGGGGUUGCCAGAGUCUCCAAAGGCAUCACAGAGACUUGGCUGCCAUUGCAGGUUUCAGUGGGUCAGUCAUUUCUAAUGAAAUAAUGCUGUACUUCAUGAUUGCUUAUUUUUACAUAUCAUUUGAAUACUAUGUAAAUUGUCCUGGAAAGAGAAUUGCAGCUCAAAUGAGGAGAUCUGGGCUCAAGUCCUAAGUCUGACCCUGCACAGUCAUGUGACAUUAAACUCACUUGCUCUCCCUGGUUUCAGUUUCAUCAUCUGUCAAGUGAGGAGAGCCGUCCUCCCUCCAGCUCCCCAUCUGUGUGCGGGGCCCUGGAGAGGAACAAGUGAGAUAAGUGGGGAGGUACUUCUCAAGCUUUGGGGGUGCUACUGAAUUCCUUGCUUUGGAUGAACUCCUGUUUUCUCCUCAGACAGUGGUGGCAUCCUUGACUGUUCACCCACAUCCUUCUUCAUCCAGGGGUCCCCCAAGCCAAGGGCGAAGUGAACAGGCUGCUCUGAGAGGAGACUUCCAGCUGCUGCACAGCUGACCACUUCCAGUGGGCUCCACGUCUGCCACCUCAACAAGAGCUUUUAAGCUGACAUGGCCUUACCCCGACACGUAAAAACAUGGCUUCAGAUAAAUACAGAAUGACAUCCUCCAGCCCAGCAUGUCUCAUGGCCUCCAUUCUGAACCCUCGUCUUGACCCACCUUGUUCCUGACCUUGUGACUAGCAUUUUUGCUGCUGUUUGCCUCACCUCUCCAGAUAGUUCCAGUGCUCUGGUUUGGGCCUUUGGAUUCUCUUCUCCAUCAAGAUUUAAUUGAUUCACUUUUAACCACAUUCCCUUUACCCACUCCACCUUGGUCCCAGGACCUUACACCCCAGCCUUGUGAAUGGGACACAGACAAAGAGAAGAUUUUAUAUGCAGCGUAGGAGCUGAGAUGCACCUCCCCAAACAGGCAGCAUAAGGAUUUCUGCCAGCACUGGGGACAUUUUCUCUUUUGGUGCUGCAGGCUUAGAACAAGUGGGCAAUUUCAAAUUCUAUGGACAGGUAUCUUGGGAGAAGGCAAUGAGAGGAAAAGAGGUAGCUUUCCCCCAACUCACCUCACCUUCCUACGUUAAAUGUUAGCACACACCAGCAUAUGUCAACACACAAGGGAACCAUGUCCUGUUUGUGCUUCUCCAUUUGACCUUGAUUCACUGAAUGGAGUGUUGAAUGAGAAAAGAAGACUGACUCAAAUUCAAAUUCAAAUUCAAAUGCAUUCCUCCCGGUUUCACAAUAACAUAGACUUUACCAAGCUUUAAAAAAAAAAAAUUCGACAAUGUAGUGAGGGCAAGACCUUGCCAGUUUUGUUCAUUGGAAUAUUCUAGAACUUAGCACACAGAAGGUGCUUAAAAAAUACUUGUUACCUGAACAAAUCCAUGGGAAGAGAGAAAAAAUGAUAUCUGAAAGAUUUCUUAUUAUCUGAUGCUGAUAGAGAGUAAAGUUAAUGAUUUAGAGAACAAGUAUCCAGCAGUAGAGCUUGCUAAUACCUUUUAAAAUGUGUUGAUGCUCAUAAAUCCAAAAUAAACGACCUGUAAAAUCACUUAAGAAGAAAUAAUACGCAUUUAAUCAGGCUUCCAGAGGAAAGUCUGAGGGAAAAGCCGAGAAUUUCAAGAAGAAUUAUUAAAUCCCUUCAAAUUCAAGCGCUGGCCGAUCACAGACAGGCCACAUGUCCCUCUGCCCUCAGGGCUGUCACUUUAGGAGGUCUCGCUCAGCCCUUCGUUAUGAAAGUCCUAAAUGACAGCCACCUCCUGGAGCCAGUGGGAAAGGCUUUGGAUCAGCUAGAAAGGGUAAGUCCCCAUACAGGUCUACCCAGCACGCUUUGCCACAUUCCACGGAGGGAUCUUAAAUAAAGGGGGAGAAAUUGGACACGUCACCCACGUCCUAAAGCGCAGCAUCUUCAAAGUCUUACUUGGGGCUUUCACUUCAAGUCAAAGGGCUCUUCCUCUGGCCAAUAAAAUUCAGAACACUCUGAACUGCUGGCCUGUGCCUCUGCUUUAUAAUCCUGUUGAAGUCUGGGGACUCUAACCAUGUUCUGGUACCUUCCAUUCCAUCCUGGAUUUUACCUCUUAGUCGGCUAAUGACAGUGACUUUACCUUUCCUGGGGUUUGAUUGAGGUCCUGAGGGUGGUAGUAAAAUGGAUUCAUCUUUUUGUUACAAACUCAAUUAGCAGAAGUUGGAAUUGCUCUCUUCUACAAACUUAAAUAAAUUGUUAAUGAGAAAUUUACCAUCACUUGAUUCGCUAGUUGCCUUAUUAGCUUGGAGUCAAUGCUAUUAAAAGAGAAGAUGUUUAUUAAAGCUUAAGGUGUCUGCUGGAUGGAAUAUUAAAAAGAAGGUGGCGGGAUAGUGCCAUGGACUGCCUGCCUCCAAAACCCAGGAGUUGCCAUGAUCCAAAGUGAACAACCUUGAGCCCUCAUUUGGGGUCUUCUCAUCAGGGAAAUAGUGAUUUACCUGGUAGACAGAAGGGCCACACAUCCCUGGGAUGCAUCUGAAGCUUCCCUUUUCAGCAACUGUCAUGAGAGUGCUUUCUCAGCCCAGUGGACAUGAGCCUGAAGGAAGGCCAUCCAGUUGCACAUGAGUCUGAACAUCUUUGCUCUUCUGGUAAGGAAGGAACUAAACCACCCCACCAUAAACGUCAGAGAUGUAGGGGAAGGAGGCUGUUUAUUUACUCAGGAAAGUUCAUACACAGACCUCAAAACCACUGCCCAGAGAAAGCCAUUGUGUCUCCCUGAUGUGGCAUUCCUAAAAUGCCUCAUCUUAACAACCAGGACCAGCUCUGAGCAGAGCUAUGAGAUCAGUCGAGGUUGUCUUUAGCCCCUUCUCCGUUUCUCUCCCCAAAAUGCUCUCCUGCACACACCCCUCCCCACCAUGUAGCCCUUGUGGUAGAAUCCGCAGGCUGGUUCACUCUCAUCCACCCCAACUCCUUCAGAGCCACUGUUUGGACCUGCAGAGGCUGACAAGGUAAAUGGUCUUAUUUCCCAGGGCACUCUGCAGCUUAGCUUCCAAAUGAGACCUCACUUCGGCCUAGCAGACACCCAGGACAUUCCAAAUCUGGAAGUGGACAUCGAGGUGGAAGCUGCGCUCUCCUACUUCUGCUAACCAGCACCUUGUGGAGACAUGUGGGAACUCUAACAGAGGGCCCAGGGUCCACACUCUAGCUCUGUGACUAUUGACAGGCAAGUCAAGGGCUCUUUUGUUGGUGUAGGGUGGUAUAGACAUGGUGACAUAAGAGCCAGCAGUAGUAGAGGACACUUCCUUCUUCACCAACUUGAUCAUGACAGAGGCAGAAGCUGCCUCGGUGGGCUAGUUCUAAGGUGGUGUUCUGGGGUGUGACUCCUGGAAGUUCUGCCGAAAGCCUCUUCCUCCAGCCCUUUUAGGGAUUUUUGUAAACUCCCUGUUCCUUGCAUGAAGUCCAUUUCUGCUAAAAAUAGUAGACUGAAUUCUGUUAUCUACAGUUAAACUCUGACAGAGACACUUUCUGUCUAUAUAACCAACCAAGUGCUUUAAUGCUCGCCCCCUCCACCAUCUUCACAGAUUAAACGAGUUGAUAAACUAAUUCACAAUAAGUAGUUAAUAACUAAUAAAGUAACUUCUUAUGGGUACUUGCCUUCACUAAAGAAGAAAGAUUCCAACGGUGUAUUUCCAACCAUAAAUGGCUUAUAGUGUUGAUAGGAUUUUUUUUUUCCUGGACAAGGAGGCAAAGGUUUUUUUAAUGGUAAAGAAGUUGUCGGUUGGUAAAACGAUGGAGAUGAUAAUGGUGGUGGUGAGGUUUAAAAGCAUGAGAGCUUGUUUAACUUGUAAGGCUCACUGGGCUGACCUCUCCAACUCCUCCCAACCCCCACUCAACCUCUAACCAGGGCUGGAAACACCACGGUCAUUUUCUGGCCUCUCAUUGCAGACCUCUCCUACUGAGCACUCUGUGAAAUCAGAAUUCUCCCAAGAAAGAGAAAACCUGCAUCAUAAGUGGAUGAACAAGAGUUCCAGAAAGUCGAUAACAUGCUCUCAGAGAGAAGACAAAGAAGAAGGCAGGUGAAGGAGGCAGCUGGAUGGAGAGAUGGUGAUUGAUGGUGUCUACACAUCCACAGACAUUCCUGGAACAGCUACUCUGGUAAGGCUCCACCCCAACACUUGUGCAGAGGCAAGGCUCACCCUGGCCUGCAGGAGUUCACGACAUGGGUGAAUACGCUAGGUUUCAUAACCCCUUAUAGAAGGAGAUGGACAUGACACCAGUACUCACACAGAAUGUUCUCAGUUACAACUGAGGCACUGCUACAAAGGGAAACCAUAGCACACUGUCUGAUUGGAGAAGAAGAGUUGGCAAAACUCAGUCUGGGGCUUCGUGGAAUGCUUCCCAGAAGAAAGGGCUGAAUCCUGGGGGCUGAGCAUGAGUUAGCCAGCUAUAAGAAGCAGCACCAGCAAAGGCCCUGAGCUCUGUUUUAGGAAGACGCAGAUUAGCAAUGCCAAAGAGCCAACUGUUUUGAAGCAACCCUCUCGUCAAUGUGACCGCAAAUUCCCAGUAUCGGCUGAAAGGUGGAUUGCAGUUGGGAAAGGAAUUGGGGCCAUGAACAGGAUGCCCCGAGGAGAAGAAACGGUAAUGAUUUGGAAGAAGAUGGUGGAGAAAAAGAAGUUAGAGAUGCAUGGAAGAAUUUGGGCCUCCCUCUGAGAAACAGCAAAGUCAAGAGGAGGAACCAAAUGUGGUGUCAAUUUAGAAACCACGGUUUGGAUUUUGAAUAAACUUGAUGUGAUGUGGUUCUUGGUGAAUCCCAGCAGAAAUAUCAAGUCUUAGGUACUGCCUGGAUUACUUUGGUAUUUAGAGGCAGAUGCUUCUCCUAGAAACAAUAAUAUGAGAAGGUUUCAGAAAGGGAUUCUUUAGCCCUGGCCCACUCUGCACUGGUUAGACCACAUCGAGAACAGUGUGGAUGUACAAUUCUAUCACCUGAACCCUGUCCAUUUUUCAUGUUGUUUUCUAAUACAGACCAGACUAGUUGGAGUGUCUACAGACAAGAGUGGUCAAGAUGAUAAAACGUCUGGACAGCAGUUAACACCCUAGAGAUGUUUCGCCCUGAAAAGAAUGACUUAAAGAAGAUACGACAGCACUGAAGAUCUGUUAUGUGAAGAGGAUUUGAUGAGAGGCUCCAAGGGAGUUACAGGGAGUGGGGAGAUAACCUUCACAAGUGUUGUUCCUAGAAUUGUUAGCUCUCCAAAGGCAUUUGGGGAAAGGGACUUUUUUUUUUCUUAGAAGCAAAUGGAAGUUUCCUUUCCUUUCUAAUAAGGACAUUAAAAAAUAAGCAAACAAACAAACCUGGAUUUCUGGACACUCGAAAGUAUGUUUCUUACACACCUAGGCCUAGAACACAGGUUAACAUGUUCCAGGAGGAACACAGGAUUUCUAGCAGGCAGUUGCAUUCAAGGCAUGGUAACAAAAUCAAAGACAAGACGGUCCCACACACAUCUUAGCACAGGCACGUGCUCUGCAUCCAGGCUCACAGACUAGGAUAACACUUCUGUAACAAGAUUGCCUUUGUCACUCAGCACCUUUUGUCUCCUUUUAUUCACUUCACUGUCUUCCGGUUGUAAUUUUAUCUGGAGAUCGAAUCAAGCUGUAGCCUUCUUAUGGAAUACGCCCCCAGACACUCACCCAAGAGUAGUUUGGGCAAAGUUUUCAGUAUCAGGAAUAAAAAUGUUGAAAUUGAAAGAGAAGUAGAGCUAUGUGGAAACAUACACAUGGCAAAGAGAGGCUGCCCACCUAAUGAGAGUGGAGGAAAAAAAAA